UACGUAGGGUGCGAGCGUUGUCCGGAAUUAUUGGGCGUAAAGAGCUCGUAGGCGGUGUGUCGCGUCGGCCGUGAAAACUUGCAGCUUAACUGUGGGCGUGCGGUCGAUACGGGCAUCACUGGAGUUCGGCAGGGGAGACUGGAAUUCCUGGUGUAGCGGUGAAAUGCGCAGAUAUCAGGAGGAACACCGGUGGCGAAGGCGGGUCCUCUGGGACCGAUGACUGAC
rnacentral:rRNA from 1 species